AUUUGAAAUCUGGCCCCCCCGGGGCCCGAGUUGUAAUUUGCAGAGGAUGCUUCGGGUGCGGUCCCCGUCUAAGUGCCCUGGAACGGGCCGUCAUAGAGGGUGAGAAUCCCGUCUGGGAUGGGCGGCCGCGCCCGUGUGAAGCGCCUUCGACGAGUCGAGUUGUUUGGGAAUGCAGCUCUAAGUGGGUGGUAAAUUUCAUCUAAAGCUAAAUACUGGCCGGAGACCGAUAGCGCACAAGUAGAGUGAUCGAAAGAUGAAAAGCACUUUGAAAAGAGAGUUAAACAGCACGUGAAAUUGUUGAAAGGGAAGCGUUGUCCACCAGACUCGCCCGGGGGGGCUCAGCCGGCACUCGUGCCGGUGUACUCCCCCCCGGGCGGGCCAGCAUCGGUUUGGGCGGCUGGUGAAAGGCCCCGGGAAUGUAACACCCUCCGGGGUGCCUUAUAGCCCGGGGUGCCAUGCGGCCAGCCUGGACCGAG
rnacentral:rRNA from 1 species